CGGGGUACCCUAAUUCAGGUCACUGGAGAUAAUCUUGGUUUACAUAGUCUGUUUGACUUUGUGGAGUCGUUUGGGGCUCGAUAUUGACGUUUCUGUCUUCUUGGUGUGGUUGGACGGCUCAGUCCGCCUCCACUCGUAUCGUGUGCAUCAGAUCCGGUCUGCGCAGCUGGGAGUAGUCUGCCUAAUGCACCUUGCUUGCUGGGCGGUGCCACACCCAGUUAUAUCUGCGUACAGGCAUCCUCUUUCCUGUUCCUGGAGCCGGAGGGCUACAUUAGUAGCAUGGCUUAGCAGGGAUUUGCGUGGUGGUUUUGAGACACUGGCUGUCGAGCUUUCGCUGUCUCCUGUCAUCAGAGUCGGGCCGUAUUCUGGCUGAAGGCUGGGAGCCGGGCGUAAUAAUUCACGCGCUGCAUUGAAUUCCUGAGUGAUUGAGCUGCAUUUUUCUGCGGCUGUCUCCCCUGUUGCCUGAAAAGCUGUGGCUACAUUGACGGGCGGCUCUACUUCCUGAAGCGGGCUACUGCUGUUCUGUCUACAGUUCAUCGCGGCAAGCUCUCUGCUCAUCGGCAGCUGUUUUAUUGUUGUUGUUGUAUGAUGUUUUAAAAAAAAAAAAAAAAAAAAAAAAAAAAAGAACAACGAUCUUGGUGUGCGUAUGCCUCUUGCCCAGCACGCCUGUUAUUGAGAGUAUUAUUAUUAUUAUUAUUAUUAUUAUUAUUAGGGUUGUUGCAGUUUUUUUUGUAUUAGAAUUGUUAGUAUUAGAAUUGUUAGUGUUAGUAUAGAUCUUGGGAUUCUUGAUUAGUUAGUUUUGUUUAUUUACUUAUUUGUUGUGAUUGCAUAUUUAAAUUAUUCAGUUAUCUUUUUUUUGUUUGGGUUUGUAAAUUUUGUUUUCCUUUUUUUGGUUUAUUGGGUUGACUGGGCGAGGGAGUAAGGGGUGCAUGUUGGCGUAAUUGGCCUUGGUGGUGACCUCGUGGGCCCAGCCUAGUGUGGUGGUGUGGCAGUUUAUUUGAGAUCUAUGUAGGUGUGCCUCGUUUUUUUCGUGAUUAACAGUUUGCCUCUUUUCCUUUGACAGGAGCUGUUGGGCCAGGUGGCUGGUGGCUGACUGAUUUCCCCCGGCGGUGGUGGUCCCUUCACUCCCUGUACAAUAGUGCACUUGGGUGUUUGUCAAUGAUUUUGUUUUGUUCACGUGUGGUGUGGUGCAUUAGGACCCUUCCCUUCUCCCCUCCAGUUCGUCAUCGCUGCCUGAUUGUCAACAUUGUUUUUUCACCUGUCCUGUCAGAGGGUGUGACCAUUUACCUCAAACAUUUCAUCAUUGAUCAUCAUUGGCUCUUCAAGCAGUUAUUUCCUGCAAUCAACCUCUUACCAAAGCAUCAGUUCAUGAUUCAUUACCUUCAUUGUAUAAGGAAAAUUGGUCCGGUUCUGCACAUGUGGUGCAUGCGUUAUGAAGCUAAACAUAAUUUCUUCAAGAAACAACUGAAAUGCUUUAAAAACAUUACGCUAACAUUAGCCAAAAAGCACCAGAGUUGUAUGGCAAUGUAUCAGGAGACCAAUAGCAAGGAGAGAUUAACUUUAGGUUCAGGAAAGACACUGAUGCUUGAUGAGCUCCAAGAACGUCCAGACGUUGCUUCCAAAUUUGGAGCUGUAUUGUCAACAGCCAGUGUGUAUUCUGCCAAGUGGAUAAAACAUCAGGGUACAGAGUACCACUGUGACUUCAUUGUCUGUACUGAGGUGGCAUUUGAUAUAUGCCUGUGUUUUGUAAGAUAAAGACUAUUGUUGUGAAAAAUGAUAUUGUAUUGCUCUGUGGAAAACUGAUGGAAACCCUGUGUUUUGAUGAGCAUUACCAUGCCUUUAAGAUUAGGCUGCAUCCAGACAAAGUUGUAAAGGUGUUGGACAUAAAUGAGCUGCCUUACUUCAAACCAUUUGAUGUUCAAAUGGUGUAUGGAACAUUGGGUUCAUCAUUAUAUGUUGUCCCAUACUGCCAUUUUAUGCAGACCUAAGGUCAGCGUUUUUAUAUUUUCUACCUGAUGAUAUUUUGG
ensembl:lncRNA